AUCUCAGAAUAAUCCAUUUGGAAUAUUUCAGAAGAGAAAGUUGGAGAGACACUCCACAGCCUCAAAAGCAUAUAUCCAUGCUGUGGACUGCCUAUGGGGCCAAGUGGAAAGGAGCUGGGAGUGGCCCGUGGAUGAUGGUCAACAAGGAAAGGGGGACCACCUCAGUUGUACAACCCCAAGGAACUGAAUUCUGCCAACAAAAUGAAUUCUGCUUAGAAAGAAGAGGAUUCUCCCCCUAAAGCCUCCUGAUAAGAAAGUGUAGCCGACAGCAUGAUAUUGGCCUUGUGAUAUUCUUUGAAGAAAACCCCUCCAUGCCUCGCAAGACUUCUGACCUACAGAACUGCCUGCUAAUGAGUUCAGAUAUCACCUCCAUCUGAGGACUCAUCUUGGACAUUCGUGUCAAUCUGGAGUAAGAAGGCUCACCUAGCUUCUUGGCAUUGCAGAAGGUUUUCUGGUCCUCCCUCACAGGCUUCUUGUCCACGUGGUUUGUUUUGUGUGUAAACUGGAACUGAAUGACCAUGGAAAUGAAAUUUCAACACUACAUGUCACAUGCCAG